UUUUCAGACUGCAUAGCAUUUAACAAUAUUUUCACAUAUCAAAUUUGAGCAUAGGCUAGCAUAUCAAAGGUAGUUUUUUCUUGUAUUGGUAAACGUUCUUUUUAUUAGUUAAACCUUGUCUAAUCAGGACAAGAUUUACCUGUCCAUGACGCUUCUGGUUUCCCAGGAUCAAUAAAUAUAGUGUACACGUAAUGGUUUUAUCAUUCAAGUUCUUCGGGAAUAACCUGGAUAUUUCACAUUUGAAAGAUGAUGUUUUCAUAUCUUGUGGUCUGUCUUACAACUGUUGGUAUUUUUGCUCAGCAUAGCAACAACAUACAUUUUAAGUCGUUUCCCUGUGAACCUGGAUAUAAAACGAAUAAGGACUGUUUCAAAAUAUACCCUAAUAUCAUAUGUACUGCAUGCAGUGAAUGGGAAUACCAAAACUAUUGUUUUAACCACUUCACAAACGCAACUUGUAUGACCUGCACUGAAUGUGACGUUUUAGCAAGUGCUUGUGCUGUAAGCCAAUCCUCUUUCUGUAAGCUGAGCAAUGACACACAGAAAAAUGACACACCGAGAAAUGGCACACAUAUGAAUAACAUACAAAAGGACAUGCUUUGUAAAUAUAUCGUUUUAAUUAUUGUUAUCAACAAUCUAUUGCUUGCAAAACUUCUUAAGCAUAAUUAUUUUUAUGAAUUGAAGUAUAAUUUAGACUUGUAUUUAAGUUAAUUCUAAUUAAAUAUUUCCG